rnacentral:misc_RNA from 1 species
ACAAACUUGGUCAUUUAGAGGAAGUAAAAGUCGUAACAAGGUCUCCGUUGGUGAACCAGCGGAGGGAUCAUUACAGAGUUAUAUAAUAAACUCCCAACCCUUUGUGAACCGUACCAUCGUUGCCUCGGCGCAUAACCUGGAGUCCGUAUUCCGACGUAGCUACCCUGUAAUUACUUACCCUAUAAGUAGCUACCCUGGAGCUACCCGGUACCGGAUGCCAGCCGCGUCAGGGGCCCCCAACAAACUCUUGUUUUUCUUCGCGUCUCUCUGAAAAAGGAAAAUUAAAAAAACGAAAUCGUUAAAACUUUCAACAACGGAUCUCUUGGUUCUGGCAUCGAUGAAGAACGCAGC